UACGUAGGCAGCGAGCGUUGUUCGGAGUUACUGGGCGUAAAGGGCUCGUAGGCGGCCAACUAAGUCAGACGUGAAAUCCCUCGGCUUAACCGGGGAACUGCGUCUGAUACUGGAUGGCUUGAGUUUGGGAGAGGGAUGCGGAAUUCCAGGUGUAGCGGUGAAAUGCGUAGAUAUCUGGAGGAAUACCGGUGGCGAAGGCGGCAUCCUGGACCGACAUUGACGCUGAACGGCGAAAGCUAGGGGAGCAAACGGG
rnacentral:rRNA from 1 species